GCCUCUUUAGCUCAGUUGGUAGAGCAGCAGUUUCGUAAACUGCAGGUCGCAGGUUCAAGUCCCGUAAGAGGCU
rnacentral:tRNA from 1 species